AAUGAAAGAGUGAAUUUUUAAAAAAAAAUCAUGACAUCCAUCAGAAUUUCUCAAAGAGAAGCUUUCAUUUAAUAAGACUGUCAAUAAACCUAGUCCACAUUUCCA